AAAACUUUCAACAACGGAUCUCUUGGUUCUGGCAUCGAUGAAGAACGCAGCGAAAUGCGAUAAGUAAUGUGAAUUGCAGAAUUCAGUGAAUCAUCGAAUCUUUGAACGCACAUUGCGCCCCUUGGUAUUCCGAGGGGCAUGCCUGUUCGAGCGUCAUUGC
rnacentral:rRNA from 5 species